CGUCAGCGACCCAACCGCCUGCCCGCUUCCCGGCCACGGCACCAACCCUAUCGUCACGGGUUCGCCCAAUGU
rfam:Pseudomonas chlororaphis subsp. aureofaciens 30-84 chromosome, whole genome shotgun sequence.